rnacentral:rRNA from 1 species
UGGGGAAUAUUGCGCAAUGGGGGGAACCCUGAUGCAGCGAUGCCGCGUGGAGGAAGAAGGUUUUCGGAUUGUAAACUCCUUUUAACAGGGACGAUAAUGACGGUACCUGAAGAAAAAGCUCCGGCUAACUACGUGCCAGCAGCCGCGGUAAUACGUAGGGAGCGAGCGUUGUCCGGAAUUACUGGGUGUAAAGGGCGCGUAGGCGGGCUGACAAGUCAGAUGUGAAAACUAUGGGCUUAACCCAUAGCCUGCAUUUGAAACUGCCGGUCCUGAGUAUCGGAGAGGCAAUCGGAAUUCCGUGUGUAGCGGUGAAAUGCGUAGAUAUUAGGAGGAACACCAGUGGCGAAGGCGGCUUGCUGGGCUUUUACUGACGCUGAGGCUCGAAAGCGUGGGGAGCAAA